CAAUAGCGUAUAUUAAAGUUGUUGCAGUUAAAAAGCUCGUAGUCGAACCUUGGGCCUGGCUGGCCGGUCUGCCUCACCGCAUGCACUGGUCCGGCCGGGCCUUUCCCUCUGGGGAUCCGCAUGCCCUUCACUGGGUGUGUCGGGGAACCAGGACUUUUACUGUGAAAAAAUUAGAGUGUUCAAAGCAGGCCUAUGCUCGAAUACAUUAGCAUGGAAUAAUAGAAUAGGACGUUGCGGUUCUAUUUUGUUGGUUUCUAGGACCGCCGUAAUGAUUAAUAGGGACAGUCGGGGGCGUCAGUAUUCAAUCGUCAGAGGUGAAAUUCUUGGAUCGAUUGAAGACUAACUACUGCGAAAGCAUUCGCCAAGGAUGUUUUCAUUAA
rnacentral:rRNA from 1 species